CAGAGAUGAAAGUCAGAUGUAUUCAAACAUAGUUCAGGCUCUGUGUUUGGACUACUGUAAGAGUCCCACUUCAAAUGGAAGAAAUCUGACCGCUUACCUCCGAGUGGAUGGCUUUCCUGCUGUUACCAGUUUGUCCAGUGGCUCACAACGUUUGUCAGUGGACUUGAGAUGCGGAGCAGAGUUGAACGCGAUGACAUGGUUUGAGUCUGGUGAUGAACUGUUCCAGUAAGCAGCAGAUGACCUUCCAGCUGCAACCCAGUACUGGGAAAUGUCCAUACAUCCAAACCCACGCGAAUAUGGGGAGAACACACAAACCCACAAAGAAAUGCCAACUGACCCAGUCGGGACUCAAACCAGCGACCUUCUUGCUGUGAGGCGACGCUGAGCCACUGUGUCGCCUUAACCGAGUUAAUGAGUAAAUAUAUAUAUCAUCAAAUGCACUUUCAUACAUACAGUAUCAGUCCAAAAUAUGUCACAUGGAAACUUUUAAAGGCUGAAA